GUGGUUAAGGCGAUGGAUUCGAAAUCCAUUGGGACCUCCCCGCGCAGGUUCGAAUCCUGCCAACUACG
rfam:Chelonia mydas contig86625, whole genome shotgun sequence.